AGAGUUUGAUCCUGGCUCAGAUUGAACGCUGGCGGCAUGCCUUACACAUGCAAGUCGAACGGCAGCACGGGAGCAAUCCUGGUGGCGAGUGGCGAACGGGUGAGUAAUACAUCGGAACGUGUCCUGGAGUGGGGGAUAGCCCGGCGAAAGCCGGAUUAAUACCGCAUACGCUCUGUGGAGGAAAGCGGGGGAUCUUCGGACCUCGCGCUCAAGGGGCGGCCGAUGGCGGAUUAGCUAGUUGGUGGGGUAAAGGCCUACCAAGGCGACGAUCCGUAGCUGGUCUGAGAGGACGACCAGCCACACUGGGACUGAGACACGGCCCAGACUCCUACGGGAGGCAGCAGUGGGGAAUUUUGGACAAUGGGGGAAACCCUGAUCCAGCAAUGCCGCGUGUGUGAAGAAGGCCUUCGGGUUGUAAAGCACUUUUGUCCGGAAAGAAAUCCUUUGGGCUAAUACCCCGGGGGGAUGACGGUACCGGAAGAAUAAGCACCGGCUAACUACGUGCCAGCAGCCGCGGUAAUACGUAGGGUGCGAGCGUUAAUCGGAAUUACUGGGCGUAAAGCGUGCGCAGGCGGUUCGCUAAGACCGAUGUGAAAUCCCCGGGCUUAACCUGGGAACUGCAUUGGUGACUGGCGGGCUAGAGUAUGGCAGAGGGGGGUAGAAUUCCACGUAGCAGUGAAAUGCGUAGAGAUGUGGAGGAAUACCGAUGGCGAAGGCAGCCCCCUGGGCCAAUACUGACGCUCAUGCACGAAAGCGUGGGGAGCAAACAGGAUUAGAUACCCUAGUAGUCC
rnacentral:rRNA from 1 species